rnacentral:rRNA from 1 species
UACGGAGGGUGCAAGCGUUAUCCGGAUUUACUGGGUUUAAAGGGUGUGUAGGCGGACUUUUAAGUCAGCGGUGAAAUCUCCGGGCUCAACCCGGAAACUGCCAUUGAUACUAUUGGUCUUGAAUUUUGUUGAGGUAGGCGGAAUAAGUCAUGUAGCGGUGAAAUGCAUAGAUAUGACUUAGAACACCAAUUGCGAAGGCAGCUUGCUAAACAAAUAUUGACGCUGAGGCACGAAAGCGUGGGGAUCAAACAGG